rnacentral:rRNA from 1 species
CAAUAGCGUAUAUUAAAGUUGUUGCGGUUAAAAGCUCGUAGUUGGAUUUCUGUUGAGGUCGACCGGUGCACACUUCGUGUGUUAUUUGGUUCGGUCUCGGCAUCCUCCUGGGGAACGUGUCAGGACUUUAUUGGACUGCGCGAGAUUCAGGACUUUUACUUUGAAAAAUUAGAGUGUUCAAAGCAGGCAAUUCGCCUGAAUAAUGGUGCAUGGAAUAAUGGAAUAGGACCUCGGUUCUAUUUUGUUGGUUUUCGGAACUUGAGGUAAUGAUUAAGAGGGACAGACGGGGGCAUUCGUAUUACGGUGUUAGAGGUGAAAUUCUUGGAUCGCCGUAAGACGAACUACUGCGAAAGCAUUUGCCAAGAAUGUUUUCAUUAAUCAAGAACGAAAGUCAGAGGUUCAAAGACGAUCAGAUACCAU